CUCCCCCCUGUGCAGACACAGAGUGGGCGUGGGAACCAUGUGCGCUCCGGCAUCACUCAUCCCACUGGGAAGCCUCGGCCGGCUCCCAGCCGCCAGCACAGCCUGUGGGUCCAGUUUCCAUCCUCUGUCCCAUGCAAAUGCUUGCACUGGGGGCUUGGAUGCUGCAAAACCCCAGGUGGGGGGCAGGCCCCCCCACGGCACCG